rnacentral:rRNA from 1 species
GACGAACGCUGGCGGGGUGCUUAACACAUGCAAGUCGAACGGUGAAAGCGGAGCUUGCUCCGCUGGAUCAGUGGCGAACGGGUGAGUAACACGUGGGCAACCUGCCCCUCACUUCGGGAUAACUCCGGGAAACCGGGGCUAAUACCGGAUAUGACCUCCUUGGGCAUCCUUGGAGGUGGAAAGUUUUUCGGUGGGGGAUGGGCCCGCGGCCUAUCAGCUUGUUGGUGAGGUAGUGGCUCACCAAGGCGACGACGGGUAGCCGGCCUGAGAGGGCGACCGGCCACACUGGGACUGAGACACGGCCCAGACUCCUACGGGAGGCAGCAGUGGGGAAUAUUGCGCAAUGGGCGAAAGCCUGACGCAGCAACGCCGCGUGCGGGAUGACGGCCUUCGGGUUGUAAACCGCUUUCAGCAGGGAAGAAGCCGCAAGGUGACGGUACCUGCAGAAGAAGCACCGGCUAACUACGUGCCAGCCGCCGCCGUAA